ACGGGUGAGUAACGCGUAAAGAACUUACCUCACAGUUAGGGACAACAUUUAGAAAUGAAUGCUAAUACCUGAUAUUAUGAUUUUAAGGCAUCUUAUAAUUAUGAAAGCUAUAAUCACUGUGAGAGAGCUUUGCGUCCCAUUAGCUAGUUGGAGAGGUAACAGCACACCAAGGCGAUGAUGGGUAGCCGGCCUGAUAGGGUGAACGGCCGCCAGGGGACUGAUACACGGCCCUUACUCCUACGGGAGGCAGCAGUGGGGAAUAUUGGACAAUGGACCAAGAGUCUGAUCCAACAAUUCUGUGUGCACUAUGAAAUGUUUCGGAAUGUAAAGUGCUUUCAGUUGGGAAGAAAAAAAUGACGGUACCAACAUAAGAAGUGACGGCUAAAUACGUGCCAGCAGCCGCGGUAAUACGUAUGUCCCACGCGUUAUCCGGAUUUAUUGGGCGUAAAGCGCGUCUAGUUGGUUAUAUAAGUCUGAUGUGAAAAUGCAUGGCUCAACUCUGUAUUGCGUUGGAUACUGUGUAACUACAGUACUGGAGAGGUAAUCGGAUCUACGAGGGUAGAGGUGAAAUUCUGAGAUAUUUGUAGGAGUGCCGAUGGGGAAGCCAGCUUACUGGACAGAUACUGACUCUGAAGCGCGAAAGACGUGGGUAGCUAAACAGGAUUAGAUACCCU
rnacentral:rRNA from 1 species